rnacentral:pre_miRNA from 1 species
AAUUAAAUUUAAUACUGAGUGGACAUGGGGUGAUACUGUGUAAUUUUUGACUCAUAGUACGACCCAUGUUGGCUCAGUAAUAAAUUACAUU